GCUUGUCUCAAAGAUUAAGCCAUGCAUGUCUAAGUAUAAACGACUUUAUACAGUGAAACUGCGAAUGGCUCAUUAAAUCAGUUAUAGUUUAUUUGAUAAUACCUUACUACUUGGAUAACCGUGGUAAUUCUAGAGCUAAUACAUGCUACACAACCCGACUUCUGGAAGGGUGGUACUGAUUAGAUACAAAACCAGCCCGGUUCGCCGGAGUCCCUGGUGAGUCAUAAUAACUGAGCGAAUCGCAUGGCCUUGCGCCGGCGAUGGUUCAUUCAAGUUUCUGCCCUAUCAGCUUUCGAUGGUAGGGUAUUGGCCUACCAUGGCGUUAACGGGUAACGGAGAAUUAGGGUUCGAUUCCGGAGAGGGAGCCUGAGAAACGGCUACCACAUCCAAGGAAGGCAGCAGG
rnacentral:rRNA from 1 species